rnacentral:rRNA from 1 species
UAGGGAAUCUUCCGCAAUGGACGCAAGUCUGACGGAGCAACGCCGCGUGAGUGAAGAAGGAUUUCGGUUCGUAAAACUCUGUUGUUAGAGAAGAACAGCGCAUAGAGUAACUGUUAUGCGUGUGACGGUAUCUAACCAGAAAGCCACGGCUAACUACGUGCCAGCAGCCGCGGUAAUACGUAGGUGGCAAGCGUUGUCCGGAUUUAUUGGGCGUAAAGCGAGCGCAGGCGGUCAAUUAAGUCAGAUGUGAAAGCCCCCGGCUCAACCGGGGAGGGUCAUUGGAAACUGGUUGACUUGAGUGCAGAAGAGGAGAGUGGAAUUCCAUGUGUAGCGGUGAAAUGCGUAGAUAUAUGGAGGAACACCAGUGGCGAAGGCGACUCUCUGGUCUGUAACUGACGCUGAGGUUCGAAAGCGUGGGUAGCAAACAGG